CCGGUCGGGUGUGCUCGGGGUGGCCAGGCGGCCGGGGAGAAUCGGGAAGCCGGUGUGAGUCCGGCACGGGCCCGCCGCGGUGAUCGGGGAGCCGCCGCCCACGCGCACGGGCCACGUCCGACGGAUCGGGUGCUGACGGACUGGAUGGUGGUCGUCCAGGUGCCGUCCGCGCGAUCGAGGUCCGCUGGACGCGGCCCGGGAGCAGCCACUGGACCACGCGGUCCGGGAAGGCGGGCGGUCAGGUGUUGAUCCGAGAGUCCGAAGACCGGCCUCGCAUCCGUGCCAUCC
rnacentral:ncRNA from 2 species